rnacentral:lncRNA from 1 species
AUUGUUAUCAUUAUGUUUGUCUGGAAAUCAGCAGAAUGGGGGUGUUGAUUUCCAGCGGGUGGGUUUUCCUUUGUCCCUUUUUUUUUUUUUUUUUUUUGUUCUAACCCAGAUUUUCAUGUUUAACAGGCCCACAGCUGAUCCAUCCCCCAGUACACAAUUGAGACAGAGGAGGUUAAAGCACUCUGAACGCAUGGGACCAUAUUGCAGGUAUUUGUGCCUGUGGCAGGGUCUUGGUCUUUUGUUCUCCUCCUGCUCCUCCUCUGCAUCACAAGACGACCCGCAUGCACACGAGCUUCAGACAGGCUGUCCAUCCAUGGGGAGUCAGGGUGCCCUCAAAAACAUUGCCAAUGAGGGCUCCAAUGCCUCAGGCUGAUAUGGGUGAAACUUCGGAUGGCAGAUGGCACAGGGAAGGGAAAAGACCAUAUCUUUAAGGUAGAACUGCCAAACAAAAGUGGAACAUCAUAUCCUAGAGCCUUUCGUCCCUGGGCUGAGAUUAAAGCAUGAAAUAUAUGUUUAGAAGAGCCACAAAUGUCUUCAUUUCAAAAACUGUAAGUGAUCAAAGUGUCUGAUGUGUGGAGGCAUGCUGCAGGGUAUUUUUUUUCACGGGUUGACAAUAACCAAGGAAAUGUUUCACAGCUUGUUCAAAUGUCAUCAUUGAUAAACAGGACUGCCGAAGUUUAGUCUCAUUUAUUACGACAGCUAUCUGUUGUAGACUAAGGUAGUGCUAUGCUGUAUGUGCUCUGCUUUAUAUUAUAUGUACAUCAGUAUAACAGCAUGGUCUCUACGUCAAUAUAAUAAAUUGAGUACUGUAUUUGAAAGGCAUGUCCUUUUUCUCUGUCUUGUCCAGUUCACUCUUUUCAUUGCAAGUAUUUGUAGAUGUGUAUACAUCUGAAUUACCUCUGCCAGUCAACAGCAAGAAGUGAUCGGGCAGUUUUUAAUACCACUAGGCCCAUCUGGGAGAAGGACCCUUUUCAUUCGACAUACUUGGCUGCUUGUCGCCUCACCAUAAUGGGCACGUUGAACGAGCUCUGAAGCAAUAGCCAAUUAAAUGCCCUGAAGGGGAUGCCUCGAGGCCCUGCAUGAAAGGCUUCAGGUGUGAAAUGCUUGUUUUUCAAGAGUGCUGCAAAUGUUGGCUGCUUUCAAGUUUGCUAUUGCCCUGCUGGCUUCCCCUUCCAGCCCACCCCAACAGCCCUUCUCAUGUGGAGGAGGGUAGAGGGUAGAGGUGAUGGGCAAGAGAAGACCACUUAAGUACAAUUUUCUAUUCAGUGUUCCAAACCUG